rnacentral:lncRNA from 1 species
CGUCGUUGGAGGCCGAGUACCAAGCUACAGCGGCGGCUGUUCGUGAAGCUUUGUGGCUUCGCAAGCUGAUGGUCGAUUUGGGCUUGCCUGAUAGCGCGGUGAAAAUCCAGAUAGACUCCCAGGGGGCGCUUAGCUUGGGAAAUAAUCCGAUUACGUCUGCUCGGUCGAAGCACAUCGACGUGCAGCACCACAUAGUGCGUGAGAGGGUGAAUGAGGGGAGGUGCAGUUGGAGUACUGCCCUACAGAGUGGAUGGUAGCGGAUGCGCUCACGAAGGCACUGGGAGAAGUGAAGUUCAAACAGUGCAGAGAAGCUAUGGGCGUUGUGUGAAGUGCCCAUUGGCGGGGCAAAUGUGCUGCUGCGAGUUGGGAUAUGUCCCGAGGGGGCGUGUUGAAGGACGGUCCUAUCCCAACGUAGAUAGGUGGUAGUUAGGCGAUGAAUCCGCCGUGAUAGGCGAUGCCUCGGCCGUGCCUCGACCUUGCCUAGGCCGUGCCUCAACCUUGCCUCGGCCGUGCCUCGACCUUGCCUCGGGUCUCUCGGCCGCAUAUCUCGGUCGUGUCCUCAGGUCCAGGGAUGGUGGAAGACUGUACAAUACUUCCGUUGGUAUCGGUACAUAAGGCAAAAGUUAAGCAAGUCUUUCUAUCUCAUCUUCGGAUGGAUCGGUAUUUCUUCAUAGGAAUCUCCUAAAGUCUUCUUGCCGUUCACCACUAACCCACAGACUGUAACCCUUAUAUCGCGACCAGUCUCCUUGCCUUCAUAUUCUUAACAGGUUAUGAGCCCCGGCUCACGCUAGUAGCUUACAUAGCUAACGCAAAGAAGGCAUAGCACGCCUGCAAGCAACUAC